rnacentral:rRNA from 1 species
ACAUCCAGAGAAUUUGGCAGAGAUGCCUUAGUGCCUUCGGGAACUCUGAGACAGGUGCUGCAUGGCUGUCGUCAGCUCGUGUUGUGAAAUGUUGGGUUAAGUCCCGNAACGAGCGCAACCCUUAUCCUUUGUUGCCAGCACGUAAUGGUGGGAACUCAAAGGAGACUGCCGGUGAUAAACCGGAGGAAGGUGGGGAUGACGUCAAGUCAUCAUGGCCCUUACGAGUAGGGCUACACACGUGCUACAAUGGCGCAUACAAAGAGAAGCGACCUCGCGAGAGCAAGCGGACCUCAUAAAGUGCGUCGUAGUCCGGAUUGGAGUCUGCAACUCGACUCCAUGAAGUCGGAAUCGCUAGUAAUCGUAAAUCAGAAUGUUACGGUGAAUACGUUCCCGGGCCUUGUACACACCGCCCGUCACACCAUGGGAGUGGGUUGCAAAAGAAGUAGAUAGCUUAACCUUCGGGAGGGCGUUUACCACUUUGUGAUUCAUGACUGGGGUGAAGUCGUAACAAGGUAAGCGUAGUGCU